rnacentral:rRNA from 1 species
CGGCGGACGGGUGAGUAACGCGUGGGUAACCUGCCUCAUACAGGGGGAUAACAGUUAGAAAUGACUGCUAAUACCGCAUAAGACCACAGCACCGCAUGGUGCGGGGGUAAAAACGUACCGGUGGUAUGAGAUGGACCCGCGUCUGAUUAGCUGGUUGGUAAGGUAACGGCUUACCAAGGCGACGAUCAGUAGCCGACCUGAGAGGGUGACCGGCCACAUUGGGACUGAGACACGGCCCAA